CAGCAGCCGCGGGAAUACGGAGGGUGCAAGCGUUAAUCGGAAUUACUGGGCGUAAAGCGCACGCAGGCGGUCUGACAAGUCAGAUGUGAAAUCCCCGGGCUUAACCUGGGAACUGCAUUUGAAACUGUCAGGCUGGAGUCUUGUAGAGGGGGGUGGAAUUCCAGGUGUAGCGGUGAAAUGCGUAGAGAUCUGGAGGAAUACCGGUGGCGAAGGCGGCCCCCUGGACAAAGACUGACGCUCAGGUGCGAAAGCGUGGGGAGCAAACAGGAUUAGAGACCCGUGUAGUCCCUGUCUCUUAUAC
rnacentral:rRNA from 1 species